CUUUGUCAGUGCAUUUUUGCAACAAAUGGACAAAACAAUUGCAUAUUGCUAUGCAAAAUGUCAUAAUUGUCGCUGCAAAAUCUAGCAUAUUUAUCUGCCAAUAUCAAAAAAUGAAGUAUGAGUAUGAAAAUGUACACUCACUACUGUAAGUCGCUCUGGAUAAGAGCUUCUGCUAAAUGACUAAAAUGUCAAAGUAAAAUGUAGCUAAACCUAUUUUAUGUAGAAAAUGCAUGAAAGUAUUACAGAUAUACACUCACAUGAGCCGUACAUUUAACCUAUCACAACUUAUUCUCACGCUAUCACAAUGGUAAUUUCUUUACUAAUUAGGUAAGGUUAAGUGACCUCUUCUCUUGGAAUAGAAAUCCACAGGUGGAGUACACGCUCCACCAUCCCAUUUCCACAGUGGUGCCACCAUGGGGAUGAUGGGAGGUGGUUGUGGAUGAUUGUUUUCAUUCUUCACAGGGACACUGGCUGUGAGGAGAAUCUCCUCCCUCUCUGCAGGGACACCAGCCUUUGGGACGAUCCACUCCCUGUGCGCAGGGACGCUGGCCUUUGGGAAGAUUCCCUUUCUCUGCGCAGUGACACUGGUCAUCAGGAGGAUCAACUUCCUUUGUGCAGGGUGAUGCUAGCUGCUCGGAGAAUUCCCUCCCUCGGUGCAGGGACACUGGCUGUUUGGAGGAUCCCCUUCCUCUGUGCAGGGAUGAGGCCUGAUGCUCGGAGGAUCUCCUCCCUCUCAGCAGGGACACUAGCCCUUGGGACAAUCCCCUCCCUGUGCACAGGGACGCUGGCCAUUGGGACGAUUUCCUCCCUCUGCGCAGUGACACUGGCUGUUUGGAGGAUCCCCUCCCUCCGUGCAGGGAUGAGGCCUGAUGAUCGUAGGAUCUCCUCCCUCUGUGCAUUGAUGCUGGCGGCUGAGAGAAUCCCCUCCCUCUGUGAAGGGACACUGGCUGUUUGUAGGAUACCCUUCCUCUGUGACGGGAUGAGGCCUGAUGCUCGGACGAUCUCCUCCCUCUGCACAGCAACUUCGGCUGGUGUGAUGAUCUGAAGAGAGAGAAUGGAACCAGCAGAGAGAGGGG